GCCAGGGUAGCAUAGUGGUAAGGCGCAGGGCUUGUAACUGAAAGGUUGCUGGUUCGAUUCCCCGCUGGGGCA